rnacentral:rRNA from 1 species
UACAGAGGGUGCAAACGUUGCUCGGAAUCAUUGGGCGUAAAGCGCACGUAGGCGGUCCGACAAGUGGGGAGUGAAAGCCCUCGGCUUAACCGAGGAAGUGCUUUCCAAACUGCCGGACUUGAGUACGCAAGAGGAUCGCGGAAUUCCCGGUGUAGAGGUGAAAUUCGUAGAUAUCGGGAGGAACACCAGCGGCGAAGGCGGCGAUCUGGGGCGAUACUGACGCUGAGGUGCGAAAGCCAGGGGAGCAAACGGG